UACGGGGGGGGCAAGCGUUGUUCGGAAUUACUGGGCGUAAAGGGCUCGUAGGCGGCCAACUAAGUCAGACGUGAAAUCCCCAGGCUCAACCUGGGAACUGCGUCUGAUACUGGAUGGCUUGAAUCCGGGAGAGGGAUGCAGAAUUCCAGGUGUAGCGGUGAAAUGCGUAGAUAUCUGGAGGAAUACCGGUGGCGAUGGCGGCAUCCUGGACCGGCAUUGACGCUGAGGAGCGAAAGCCAGGGGAGCAAACGGG
rnacentral:rRNA from 1 species